CCUACGGGAGGCAGCAGUGAGGAAUAUUGGUCAAUGGGCGAGAGCCUGAACCAGCGAAGUAGCGUGAAGGAUGACUGCCCUACGGGUUGUAAACUUCUUUUAUAAGGGUAUAAGCUGAGGCACGUGUGCCUUUUUGCAUGUACUUUAUGAAUAAGGAACGGCUAACUCCGUGCCAGCAGCCGCGGUAAUACGGAGGGUCCGGGCGUUAUCCGGAUUUAUUGGGUUUAAGGGGAGCGUAGAUGGGUUGUUAAGUCAGGUGUGAAAGUUUGCGGCUCAACCGUGAAAUUGCAAUUGAUACUGGCAGCCUUGAGUACAGUGGAGGUAGGCGGAAUUCGUGGUGUAGCGGUGAAAUGCGUAGAUAUCACGAAGAACUCCGAUUGCGAAGGCAGCCUACUAAACUGCCACUGACAUUGAUGCUCGAAAGUGUGGGUAGCAAACAGGAUUAGAUACCCGAGUAGUC
rnacentral:rRNA from 1 species